rnacentral:rRNA from 1 species
GACGAACGCUGGCGGCGUGCUUAACACAUGCAAGUCGAACGGAAAGGCCCUGCUUGCCGGGUACUCGAGUGGCGAACGGGUGAGUAACACGUGGGUGAUCUGCCCUGCACUUCGGGAUAAGCCUGGGAAACUGGGUCUAAUACCGGAUAGGAGCCAUUUUUAGUGUGAUGGUUGGAAAGUUUUUUCGGUGUAGGAUGAGCUCGCGGCCUAUCAGCUUGUUGGUGGGGUAAUGGCCUACCAAGGCGGCGACGGGUAGCCGGCCUGAGAGGGUGGACGGCCACAAUUGGACUGAGAUACGGCCCAGACUCCCACGGGGAGCAGCAGGUGGGGAUAAUGCAAAAUGGGGGGAAGCCUGAAGCAACGACGGCGCGGGGGGGAUGACGGCCUUCGGGUUGUAAACUCCUUUCGCUAGGGACGAAGCUUUUUGUGACGGUACCUAGAGAAGAAGCACCGGCUAACUACGUG